GGGGAAUCUUGCACAAUGGGGGCAACCCUGAUGCAGCGACGCCGCGUGAGCGAUGAAGCCCUUCGGGGCGUAAAGCUCUUUCGACCGGAACGAUAAUGACGGUACCGGGAGAAGAAGCUGCGGCUAACUACGUGCCAGCAGCCGCGGUAAUACGUAGGCAGCAAGCGUUGUUCGGAGUUACUGGGCGUAAAGAGUGCGUAGGCGGUUUUCUAAGUUCGGUGUGAAAUCUCCCGGCUUAACUGGGAGGGUGCGCCGAAGACUGGGAAGCUGGAGUGUGGGAAAGGCAGGCGGAAUUCCUGGUGUAGCGGUGAAAUGCGUAGAUAUCAGGAGGAACACCGGCGGUGUAGACGGCUUGCUAGACCAUAACUGACGCUGAGGCACGGAAGCGUGGGUAGCAAACA
rnacentral:rRNA from 1 species